GACGAACGCUGGCGGCGUGCUUAACACAUGCAAGUCGAACGGAAAGGCCCUGCUUGCAGGGUACUCGAGUGGCGAACGGGUGAGUAACACGUGGGUGAUCUGCCCUGCACUUCGGGAUAAGCCUGGGAAACUGGGUCUAAUACCGGAUAGGAGCCAUUUUUAGUGUGAUGGUUGGAAAGUUUUUUCGGUGUAGGAUGAGCUCGCGGCCUAUCAGCUUGUUGGUGGGGUAAUGGCCUACCAAGGCGGCGACGGGUAGCCGGCCUGAGAGGGUGGACGGCCACAUUGGGACUGAGAUACCGCCCAGACUCCUACGGGAGGCAGCAGUGGGGAAUAUUGCACAAUGGGCGCAAGCCUGAUGCAGCGACGCCGCGUGGGGGAUGACGGCCUUCGGGUUGUAAACUCCUUUCGCUAGGGACGAAGCUUUUUGUGACGGUACCUAGAUAAGAAGCACCGGCUAACUACGUG
rnacentral:rRNA from 1 species